UCUGUCCGAGCAGCCGCCGCCGCCGCCUGUGCCAUGCCCUGCGCUGCCGCCUCCUCAUGCCACAGCACCGGGGUCCAGCCAUGAACACCGACCGCGUCGCGCCACGCCGCCGCCGGUCUGAUGGCCGAGCCGCUGCCGGGCGUAGCCGCGCGCUGUGAGCGCCGUGGGCGCCGGCCGCAGCUGCGCGGCCCGAGCGCCAUUGCCUGCACCGCUUCCUCUUGGUCACCAUGCGCCGCGCAACCCGACCACGGCCAGCGCGUGCGCCGCGUGCCUCGCCGGCCGCCGCGUGCGGGCCGGUGCACCGCCGGUCACGGCCGCCAGCGCUGCUACCAGCCCUCCGUUCGGCUUGGGGCCUCGGUCCCCGUUGCUCCUGAUGCAGCGUGCGCUGCGAGUGCCGCUGGCCGUGCGAGAUGCCAGUGCCACACUGAGCCCCACGGGACGCGCUCGUCCUCAUGCGCUGCCGCGGGCACUCGGGUCCCGACCGGCCUGCGUGUCCAUAGACGCCGUGGCCUUCUAAUGCCGUGGUCCAUGACAUGCUGUCGAGUUGCUCAAUUGGGUGCCUCGUUCGGCGCCCAGCUCUUGUGGCUCUAGCCUGUGGCCAGAGGCCUCGACGAGGGUGAAGUCGGUCACCGCGCGAGGCUCCGUAUGCCCGCGUAGCGUACGGUGGUUCACCGGCGACCACGCGCGGUACAUCAAGAUGCCACGCGCAGCACCGUCGAGUAGACAAAAAUAGUAGACAGGAACUAAUUUGGGGAGAAACCAAAACCCUGAUUCAGUAAUUGCUUAACUUAAUCAUCAAUUAACGAUGAGGCAUGGGACAUGACAUGAUGGACGCUGCGAUCCGCAUCGAGGCAUGGGACACGACGACGGAGGUGGCGCUGAAGCCAUCCAGGGCGAUCGUGCAGGUGCUCGAUCCGUGCGUGCGCCUUGCCCGCAGCAUGCCGUUUCGAGCCAGUGGAAAUGCUCCUUUUUAUGAAGAUGUCGUCAGAGGAAUUAAAUCUAUUAAUUUGUUCACAUUGCACGUUCCAUUUUCAUUCAUUGAAUGGUAUGAUGGAGAACUUGCUAUCGUCCAGGAUGAGGACCCCAGUGUAUACAAUGAACUACUGCAUUCUGUUAUUUGAAACACGGUGUUAGAUAAGAAUGUCGCAACAGAGCAUGCAAAACUUGAAAUAGUGGGUUUGCCAGAACCCAAAAGCAUCCAAAAGUUUGUGCGCAUUGUUGAAGAUAAUGAAAUGGUUCUUCCAUACAAACUGCACAACAAUAUUUGGGUAAAUGCGACUACACUGGCUGGAAGAGACAUGGGUCUUGGUUAUUUGAACCAUAUGUUUGAUAAGUUUGAUAUUGGUAAAUGUUGGGGCAGAGGAGAAAAUGAAUGGGAUGAGAACAAUAUGGAAGUAAGAAGCAAAAGGUGUCAUCAAAAAAGAAGCUGAUCAAGAAGUAACUCAAGAUUUGGUUGUAUAUAACUUGCUAAAGUUAUUUGACAUAAUACAACCAUGGUAUAGAGGCAAUACUGUUAAACAAGUUCCUGCAUUUUUCGACAGUCUGCAGCUUGAUAUUCUUACAGCACCUGAUCCAAAGGGUGACCGCCAAACCUGGAUCAGAUAUUCAAAACUUAUGAGAUCAGCACUUGCUCUGAAAGCACCAGCAGUAAGAUCUGGACUGAUCAUCAACUUCUAUAAAGUGCUCCUCUUGCGACUCGUAGUAAGGCCUUUAGACCUUCAAAAACUUCUAAAGAGGCUCAGAGAUAACUGGCGUUUGUGUGCAAGACAACUUGAGCCAUUCUUGCGAGUCUACAUGUACAAUAGUGACAUUUCAGAGAACUUCAUCUAUGAUAAAUGGGAACAGAAUCAUUGGCAUAUCAUGACAUACUCUCGGCACUUUAUUGAGCAUGCUCUUCUUUGCUUAAAGGUUUCGAGCCGGUGGAAAUGCUGCUUUUUAUGAAGGUGUCGUAAGAGGAAUUAAAUCUAUUAAUUUGUUCACAUUGCACGUUCCAUUUUCAUUCAUUGAAUGGUAUGAUGGAGAACUUGCUAUCGUCCAGGAUGAGUACCCCAGUGUAUACAAUGAACUGCUGCAUUCUGUUAUUUCCUUCCUUGUGAAACACGGUAUUGAUAAGAAUGUGGCAACAGAGCAUGCAAAACUUGAAAUAGUGGGUUUGCCAGAACCCAAAAGCACCCAAAAGUUUGUGCGCAUUGUUGAAGAUAAUGAAAUGGUUCUUCCAUACAAACUGCACAACAAUAUUUGGGUAAAUGCGACUACACUGGCUGGAAGAGACAUGGGUCUUGGUUAUUUGAAUCAUAUGUUUGAUAAGUUUAAUAUUGGUAAAUGUUGGGGCAGAGGAGAAAAUGAAUGGGAUGAGAACAAUAUGGAAGUAAGGAGCAAAAGGUGUCAUCAAAAAAGAAGCUGAUCAAGAAGUAACUCAAAAUUUGGUUGUAUAUAACUUGCUAAAGUUAUUUGACAUAAUACAACCAUGGUAUAGAGGCAAUACUGUCAAACAAGUUCCUGCAUUUUUCGACAGUCUGCAGCUUGAUAUUCUUACAGCACCUGAUCCAAAGGGUGACCGCCAAACCUGGAUCAGAUAUUCAAAACUUAUGAGAUCAGCACUUGCUCUGAAAGCACCAGCAGUAAGAUCUGGGCUGAUCAUCAACUUCUAUAAAGUGCUCCUCUUGCGACUCGUAGUAAGGCCUUUAGACCUUCAAAAACUUCUAAAGAGGCUCGGAGAUAACUGGCGUUUGUGUGCAAGACAACUUGAGCUAUUCUUGCGAGUCUACAUGUACAAUAGUGACAUUUCAGAGAACUUCAUCUAUGAUAAAUGGGAACAGAAUCAUUGGCAUAUCAUGACAUACUCUCAGCACUUUAUUGAGCAUGCUCUUCUUUGCUUAAAGGUUUCGAGCCGGUGGAAAUGCUGCUUUUUAUGAAGGUGUCGUAAGAGGAAUUAAAUCUAUUAAUUUGUUCACAUUGCACGUUCCAUUUUAUUCAUUGAAUGGUAUGAUGGAGAACUUGCUAUCGUCCAGGAUGAGUACCCUAGCACCCAAAAGUUUGUGCGCAUUGUUGAAGAUAAUGAAAUGGUUCUUCCAUACAAACUGCACAAUAAUAUUUGGGUAAAUGCGACUACACUGGCUGGAAGAGACAUGGGUCUUGGUUAUUUGAACCAUAUGUUUGAUAAGUUUGAUAUUGGUAAAUGUUGGGGCAGAGGAGAAAAUGAAUGGGAUGAAAACAAUAUGGAAGUAAGGAGCAAAGGGUGUCAUCAAAAAAGAAGCUGAUCAAGAAGUAACUCAAAAUUUGGUUGUAUAUAACUUGCUAAAGUUAUUUGACAUAAUACAACCAUGGUAUAGAGGCAAUACUGUCAAACAAGUUCCUGCAUUUUUCGACAGUCUGCAGCUUGAUAUUCUUACAGCACCUGAUCCAAAAGGGUGACCGCCAAACCUGGAUCAGAUAUUCAAAACUUAUGAGAUCAGCACUUGCUCUGAAAGCACCAGCAGUAAGAUCUGGGCUGAUCAUCAACUUCUAUAAAGUGCUCCUCUUGCGACUCGUAGUAAGGCCUUUAGACCUUCAAAAACUUCUAAAGAGGCUCGGAGAUAACUGGCGUUUGUGUGCAAGACAACUUGAGCCAUUCUUGCGAGUCUACAUGUACAAUAGUGACAUUUCAGAGAACUUCAUCUAUGAUAAAUGGGAACAGAAUCAUUGGCAUAUCAUAACAUACUCUCGGCACUUUAUUGAGCAUGCUCUUCUUUGCUUAAAGGUUUCGAGCCUGUGGAAAUGCUGCUUUUUAUGAAGGUGUCGUAAGAGGAAUUAAAUCUAUUAAUUUGUUCACAUUGCACGUUCCAUUUUCAUUCAUUGAAUGGUAUGAUGGAGAACUUGCUAUCGUCCAGGAUGAGUACCCCAGUGUCUACAAAGAACUACUGCAUUCUGUUAUUUGAAACACGGUGUUGAUAAGAAUGUGGCAACAGAGCAUGCAAAACUUGAAAUAGUGGGUUUGCCAGAACCCAAAAGCACCCAAAAUGUUGGGGCAGCGGAGAAAAUGAAUGGGAUGAGAACAAUAUGGAAGUAAGGAGCAAAGGGUGUCAUCAAGAAGUUAUAUAACUUGCUAAAGUUAUUUGACAUAAUAGAACCAUGGAAACCCUCCAACUAGAAUAGAAAGCAUCGCACACCUUCUGCAUCUCGGACUCAGAUGAAUCCCAUUUGCCAGUGAUGCCACAAUUUGCAGAAAGUGUUCCUUCCUUAUAGAAACUUCAGAGAGACGACCAAAGAGACGAGGCAUCAUGUCCACUAGUGUGUGCUGUAUGGGUUUUAUUAGCACACGCUCUUCCACGCGAUGGGUAGGGAUGUACUUCCAUUCUCGAGCUAUCCUCAGAUUGAUGUAGUUUGUGAAAGCUACCAAUGGACUAGUUUCUUUGGACACCUGACACGCGAUGGGCUUCAUGAGCCCAUUGUAUUAGGCGGGUACCAAUUGGUACCGAGAUUCGAACAUUGGUAACAGCAACGGAGCAGGAAGAGGAUGAGGGGAGGCAGCGGCACGAUGAGACGAGUGAACUGGGGUGGGGGGUGGAGCUGCGCUAGUAGUGCUGCACCUAUCACCUCCGACGCGCCCGGCGAUGGCAGCAAGGACGGUGUGAGUGACGCGGAAACCGGGGGCGGGGAAGGAGGCGGCGGAGCUGCGCUAGCACGGCUAGCACAGCAUGCCUCCUCGAGGGCGUAGAUACUGUCAGACCCGGGGCCACGGGGCUGUGUACGUCAAGGAGUCCGUAUUGGGCUAAGGGAUAGGACAUGUCCUGUACCUUAUUUAUGUUGUAUUCUACCC